AACGAACGCUGGCGGCAGGCUUAACACAUGCAAGUCGAACGCAUCGCAAGAUGAGUGGCAGACGGGUGAGGAACACGUGGGAACAUCCCUUUCAGUUCGGAAUAACUCAGGGAAACUUGAGCUAAUACCGGAUACAUCCGUGAGGAGAAAGAUUUAUCGCUGAAAGAUUGGCCCGCGUCUGAUUAGCUAGUUGGUGAGGUAAUGGCUCACCAAGGCUACGAUCAGUAGCUGAUCUGAGAGGAUGAUCAGCCACAUUGGGACUGAGACACGGCCCGAACUCCUACGGGAGGCAGCAGUGGGGAAUAUUGGACAAUGGGCGCAAGCCUGAUCCAGCCAUGCCGCGUGAGUGAUGAAGGCCUUCGGGUUGUAAAGCUCUUUUGUCCGGGAAGAUAAUGACUGUACCGGAAGAAUAAGCCCCGGCAAACUUCGUGCCAGCAGCCGCCGCGG
rnacentral:rRNA from 1 species